rnacentral:ribozyme from 12 species
UCUUCUACUUUUUUUUUGGCAGCUCUCCUCUGUUUUUCUCUUUCAUCUUUUUCGUUGUGAAGGUGAUUUAUAUGUAUGAUGUCCGAGGAAGGAGAAAAGGGGCGGCGACAAUUUGGACAUGGUACAGAGCCGUUAUUGCGAUUAUUUUGUAAAUUUGUGCGCAUUUGAUUAUGCACAUGAUCAUCAAGACAAGCGCAGCAAAAAAAGUGACCACA